rnacentral:rRNA from 1 species
GAUGAACGCUGGCGGCGUGCCUAAUACAUGCAAGUCGAGCGAACAGACGAGGAUCUUGCUCCUCUGACGUUAGCGGCGGACGGGUGAGUAACACGUGUAUAACCUCCCUAUCAGACUGGGAUAACUUCGGGACUCCGGCGCUAAUACCGUAUAAUCUCUUGCACCGCAUGGUUCAUUAGUGAAAUUCGGUUUUUCUGUCACUUCUCGAUGCAUCCCCGCCGCAUUGGAUAGUUGGUACGGUAACGGGUUACCAAGGCUACGAUGCGUAGCCGACCUGAGAGGGUGAUAGGCCACAUUGGAGGGGAGACGGGGUCAAGAGUCCUACGAGAGGCAGCAGUAGGGAAUCUGCGGCAAUGGGCGAGAGCUUGACGGAGCAAGGCGGAGUGAGUGAUGAAGAUCUUCGGAUCGUAAAACUCGGUUAUGAGGGAAGAACAAAUGUGUAAGUAAAUAUGCACGUAUUGACGGUACCUAAUCAGAAAGCCACGGCUAACUACGUG